CUACGUGCCAGCAGCCGCGGUAAUACGGAAGGUCCAGGCGUUAUCCGGAUUUAUUGGGUUUAAAGGGAGCGUAGGCUGGAGAUUAAGUGUGUUGUGAAAUGUAGACGCUCAACGUCUGAAUUGCAGCGCAUACUGGUUUCCUUGAGUACGCACAACGUUGGCGGAAUUCGUCGUGUAGCGGUGAAAUGCUUAGAUAUGACGAAGAACUCCGAUUGCGAAGGCAGCUGACGGGAGCGCAACUGACGCUUAAGCUCGAAGGUGCGGGUAUCAAACAGGAUUAGAUACCCUGGUAGUCCGCACAGUAAACGAUGGAUGCCCGCUGUUAGCGCCUGGCGUUAGCGGCUAAGCGAAAGCAUUAAGCAUCCCACCUGGGGAGUACGCCGGCAACGGUGAAACUCAAAGGAAUUGACGGGGGCCCGCACAAGCGGAGGAACAUGUGGUUUAAUUCGAUGAUACGCGAGGAACCUUACCCGGGCU
rnacentral:rRNA from 1 species